GAUGAACGCUGGCGGCGUGCCUAAUACAUGCAAGUCGAACGGAGAUUGUAGCAAUACGGUCUUAGUGGCGAACGGGUGAGUAACGCGUUGGUAACCUGCCCCGAAGCGUGGGAUAACGGUCCGAAAGGACCACUAAUACCACAUGUGAUCCCGAGGAAUAGAUACUUGGGAUGAAAGGAGCAAUUCGCUUCGGGAGGGACCUGCGUCCCAUCAGCUAGUUGGUAGGGUAACGGCCUACCAAGGCGAUGACGGGUAGGGGACCUGAGAGGGUGGCCCCCCACAAUGGAACUGAAACACGGUCCAUACACCUACGGGUGGCAGCAGUAGGGAAUAUUGGUUAAUGUGCGAAAGCGCGAACCAGCAACGCCGCGUGUGCGAUGAAGGCCUGGUCGUAAGCACUUUUUGUCAGGGAAGAGGAAGGACGGUACUGCAGAAUAAGU
rnacentral:rRNA from 1 species